GACGAACGCUGGCGGCGUGCUUAACACAUGCAAGUCGAACGGAAAGGCCCUGCUUUUGUGGGGUUCUCGAGUGGCGAACGGGUGAGUAACACGUGAGUAACCUGCCCUUGACUUUGGGAUAACUUCAGGAAACUGGGGCUAAUACCGGAUAGGAGCUCCUGCUGCAUGGUGGGGGUUGGAGAGUUUCGGCGGUUGGGGAUGGACUCGCGGCUUAUCAGCUUGUUGGUGGGGUAGUGGCUUACCAAGUCUUUGACGGGUAGCCGGCCUGAGAGGGUGACCGGCCACAUUGGGACUGAGAUACGGCGCAGACUCGUACGGGAGGCAGCAGUGGGGAAUCUUGCAGAAUGGGCGGAAGCCUGAUGCAGCAACGCUGCGUGCGGGAUGACGGGCUUCGGGUUGUAAACCGCUUUCGCAUGUGACGAAGCGUGAGUGACGGUAAUGGGUAAAGAAGCACCGGCUAACUACGUG
rnacentral:rRNA from 1 species